GGAUUUCUCGUUAUAAUGAAGUUGUGCUUAUAUCGAUAAUAUUUCCAAUGACGAGUAGAGUGAGUCCCGUUUGAACGUGAAGUCGUCUAGAACGAGAGGCGUCUGCCGGCGCGGUGCGGCGCGACGUAGAGAAACCCCGACCAUUGGCAAUCGAUGACAAAGGGAGUUUCUCGUGCGCCGCAGUAAAUUGAUCUUCAGAAAGUGUACGUGGGGGAGGACAAAGUCGUGGAGUCAUCGUUACGACCUAAUAUUGAUUUUCGGUACAAUCAAAGCCGAUUCACAAACAAUCGUAGCGAGAGCUUGAACUAGGGAAUAUAAUGCCACGCCUUGAAUAAUAUCAAACGAAUAAUAAGAAAGAAAGCACGAUCAGAAUGUUAUAUUGAAAUUUUCAAUAAUACAUUGGUAGGAACAGCAUGAAAAUGCAUAAGUGGAUAGCCUUGGCCUGUUCCAACACUCGUGUGUCGGGCACCGUACCUACUGGUUACCCUGGAAACGGUAUCGAUUUCAACCCUCAGCUAUGCAGUAGAAGCACAGCACCAACACCAUGGGGUCUUUUCAUCUUCAGUUUCGACGAGGUGCGGAGGCCUUUUCGUCAACCCGAUUACAAGAAACCCCGUUCUUCCUUUCCUUGUCUCUCUCUUUCUCUCUUUCUUUCCACCGUAUGCAAUUUGGGAAGACAUAGAGAACUGCAAAAAAAAGCUUAUUAUUCGCAAACGAUUUGUAGAUAUCGUGACAUAGACCGUUCUUAAAAUAAUAAUACUGAACGAUAUACCUCUUUACAAUCUUAACUUUUUAGUUCUAAUGAAUUUUAAUGAGGGAUUUUUAAAUUGGGAUGAAUACGUCUUUUUGUUCCUUUUUUGUUUUGUUUUUCUUUCUUUUUUCGUUUUUUUAAUUGCUUAAAUGAUCUUAAGUUUAUAAUGUCAAACGAAAUGACAAAAUGUUGAAAAGAAUACAUGUUCAAAGGGUGAUACCACCACGAUUAUACGGGGAUAAAACACAAGGGCCCAUGGGAAAUUACAGACAAUCCUUUCAGGUACAUUAAACGAAGGAAAAGUAAACGCGCUUGAAUUUCACCAAAUAUGUAGUUUUUGUCUGGCGAAAUUAGAAAACGCGAAUUAAACGUUUCUGUUUCAUGUAUUAUAUUAUAAAGUUCUUUUAUAAUACUUAUUUCUUUUUCUUUUUAUAUUUUAUUCUAAUUGGUUUAAUUUCGUGCACGUGGAGAAAUAUGAAUAUUUAUUUAUAACAAUACAUAAUAAUAAUUAAAUUAUUUUUAUUUAAUUAUAUAAUUUAAUUAUUUAGAAUAAGUUCAACAGAUUUUUAUAUUGCUUUUUCAGAAAAAUUCAAGCAUUUAAAUAAUAAUCUCAUUAUUAUUACUAUUAUCAUUAUGCUAACUUGAUAUAUAUAUAUAUA